rnacentral:lncRNA from 1 species
AUCAGAAGGCACUUUUGCAUAUUCAUCUUCAUCUAUUUAACAACAUUUUUUAGGACAUUUUGUAGGAGAAAACAACUGCUGCAUUAAGGUUGAAAUUUGAGCAACCGUGCAUGACCAAAAGUCUGACAAGCAAGUUGCAUUUGAAGCAGAGGCUACAUUCUUAUCGCAUGGCAGAAGGAGGAUUUUUGGAAGACCAUUUGGCCGUGUUCAAGGAGAUCGUUGCUAAUCUGGAAAUGUUAGAGGUAAAAUAUGAUGAAGUGGACCUGACCUUUAUCCUGUUGUGCUCACUGCCUAUUUCGUUUCAUUGUUUAGACACAUAAUUUUGUACAGUCAUGACACACUCAUAAUUGAAGAGAUGCCUUGUUCUCAAAGAAGAAGAUAAAGCAUCUGAUUAGAGCUGAGUCCAGAGGUGAAGAAGCUCCUGUGGUUCAUGGUGAUUGACAAAGGGGUAAGUCGAGGGUGAAUUUCAACAAUCAAAUUUGUUUCUAUUGCAAGAAAAAGGACAUAUUAAGAGAGAUUGUGAAAAUUUG